rnacentral:rRNA from 1 species
UACGAAGGGGGCUAGCGUUGUUCGGAAUCACUGGGCGUAAAGGGCGCGUAGGCGGCUUUAUAAGUCGGGGGUGAAAGCCUGUGGCUCAACCACAGAAUUGCCCUUCGAUACUGUAGAGCUUGAGACCGGAAGAGGUAAGUGGAACUGCGAGUGUAGAGGUGAAAUUCGUAGAUAUUCGCAAGAACACCAGUGGCGAAGGCGGCUCACUGGCCCGAUACUGACGCUGAGGCACGAAAGCGUGGGGAGCAAACAGGGAUUAAGCA